ensembl:lncRNA
GCUGUCUCUGACACUGGAGCGAUGAACACCAUUUUCCCCAAAAGAUUUUCAUUCAGCUGGUGUUUUGAUGAAGGUGGUGUAGAGCACAGCUCCAAAAUCCUCCAUAUAAGGGGUUGCAUAGAAUAAUCAAUUUAGAUUAAUACAUUCACAAAUUGAAUUGUCAAGGUAGAUACGAGACUGAGAAGGUAGAUACGAGACUAAGAAGGUAGAGACAAGGUAGAUACGAGACUAAGAAGGUAGAUGCGAGACUAAGAAGGUAGUUACGAGACUAAGAAGGUAGAUACGAGACUAAGAAGGUAGAUACAAGACUAAGAAGGUACAGACAAGGUAGACACGAGACUAAGAAGGUAGACACGAGACUAAGAAGGUAGACACGAGACUAAGAAGGUAGAUACGAGACUAAGAACAUAAGCUCCUGUGUUGUACAGUGACUCAUGUGGAACACUACACAGCAGGUCUGGUGUAAAUUCUAGAUAGUGUGAACAUGUUCGAACAAAUAUUAUUAUUAUUAUUAUUAUUAUUA